rnacentral:rRNA from 1 species
CACGUAGGGAGCAAGCGUUUGUCCGGAUUUAUUGGGCGUAAAGAGCUCGUAGGUGGUUCCGUAAGUCAGGUGUGAAACCUCCAGGCUCAACCUGGAGACGCCACCUGAUACUGCGGUGACUGGAGUCCGGUAGGGGAGCGGUGGAAUUCCUGGUGUAGCGGUGAAAUGCGCAGAUAUCAGGAGGAACACCAGCGGCGAAGGCGGCGCUCUGGGCCGGUACUGACACUGAGGAGCGAAAGCGUGGGUAGCAAACAGG